UGGGGAAUAUUGCACAAUGGGCGAAAGCCUGAUGCAGCAACGCCGCGUGAGUGAUGAAGGUCUUCGGAUUGUAAAGCUCUGUCUUUUGGGACGAUAAUGACGGUACCAAAGGAGGAAGCCACGGCUAACUACGUGCCAGCAGCCGCGGUAAUACGUAGGUGGCGAGCGUUGUCCGGAUUUACUGGGCGUAAAGGGUGCGUAGGCGGAUGUUUAAGUGAGAUGUGAAAUACCCGGGCUUAACUUGGGUGCUGCAUUUCAAACUGGAUAUCUAGAGUGCAGGAGAGGAGAAUGGAAUUCCUAGUGUAGCGGUGAAAUGCGUAGAGAUUAGGAAGAACACCAGUGGCGAAGGCGAUUCUCUGGACUGUAACUGACGCUGAGGCACGAAAGCGUGGGUAGCAAACAGGAUUAGAUACCCUGGUAGUCCACGCCGUAAACGAUGAGUACUAGGUGUAGGAGGUAUCGACCCCUUCUGUGCCGCAGUAAACACAUUAAGUACUCCGCCUGGGAAAGUACGAUCGCAAGAUU
rnacentral:rRNA from 1 species